UACCGAGUUUACAACUCCCAAACCCCUGUGAACAUACCACUUGUUGCCUCGGCCGGAUCAGCCCGCUCCCGGUAAACGGGACGGCCCGCCAGAGGACCCCUAAACUCUGUUUCUAUAUGUAACUUCUGAGUAAAACCAUAAAUAAAUCA
rnacentral:misc_RNA from 1 species